rnacentral:rRNA from 1 species
UUUCGUACUCUCUUCUCUUUACCACGCGAUAGGUCAGCGAAGCGUGAGCGGGCGCUCCGAAGUAAAGGCCAAACACUUCGGCCUAAGGGGAAUGAGCAACAAAAUGACAAGAUGAGGUGCCCCGGGCACCCCCAUAUAGAAAGAAGGGUCGAAGGUUUUGGGCCUGUAGCUUUCCCCGCCCCCCCCUCGUCGAGUGGUGCUUGUUUGGGGGGUGUGCCACCAGAAAGCGGGCUUGAAGCUCUCGCCUUACCAACGAGCCGACUGCUGAUGGCUGUUGGUCACGACUACUACAAAAAAGUGAAGAUGAAUCUUUCUAUUUCACAUGGAGGAGUGUGCAUCUUUAUGUUGGGUGUUCUUCUGUCGUGCGACCCGAUGGCUUAUGUGCGACCUGUGGCCCACGCCUCCUAUUCUAUUUGUUCAGGGCGGGCGGCGUGA